rnacentral:rRNA from 1 species
CACCCGCGGCUCGAGUGGUAGUCACUUUUAUUGAGCCUAAAGCGUUUGUAGCCGGAUUUGUAAAUCUCUAGGAAAAUACUUCUGCUUAACUGAAGAAAUUUUGGAGAGACUGCAAAUCUAGGGACCGGGUGAGGUUGAAUGUACUUCUGGGGUAGGGGUAAAAUCCUGUAAUCCUGGAAGGACGACCGGUGGCGAAGGCGUUCAACUAGAACGGAUCCGACGGUGAGGAACGAAGGCUAGGGGAGCAAACCGGAUUAGAUACCCGGGUAGUCCUAGCUGUAAACACUGCCCACUUGGUGUUGCAUCUCCGGUAAGGGGGUGCAGUGCCGUAGCGAAGGUGUUAAGUGGGCCGCUUGGGGAGUAUGGUCGCAAGGCUGAAACUUAAAGGAAUUGGCGGGGGAGCACCGCAACGGGAGGAGCGUGCGGUUUAAUUGGAUUCAACGCCGGAAAACUCACCGGAGGCGACCUGUGUAUGAGAGUCAACCUGAUGAAUUUACUCGAUAGCAGGAGAGGUGGUGCAUGGCCGUCGUCAGCUCGUACCGUAGGGCGUUCACUUAAGUGUGAUAACGAGCGAGACCCCCAUCUUCAAUUGCUAAGCUAACCGUGAGGUUGGUAGAACUUUGAAGGGACCGCCAGUGCAGAACUGGAGGAAGGAGGGGUCGACGGCAGGUCAGUACGCCCCGAAUCUUCCGGGCAACACGCGCGCUACAAAGGACAGGACAAUGGGCUGCGACCUCGAAAGGGGAAGCCAAUCCCGAAACCUGUUCGUAGUUAGGAUUGAGGGCUGUAACUCGCCCUCAUGAAUCUGGAUUCCGUAGUAAUCGCGGGUCAACAUCCCGCGGUGAAUAUGCCCCUGCUCCU